ACCCUCCUGCCCCUGGGCGCGGCCCCUCUCGCGUCUUCGCUGGACACUGCCUGCUGGUGUCCUGCACGCCGUGUGGAGCGAAGGGCGCUGUGGGCCGGUUUCCGUCGCCUUUCGCCUCGGUGACGCCCUGAGGCCACCGUCGUACAGUGCCGUGAGGGCAGGUGUGAGGGACGGACCCAGCCGCACAGUGCGCCGGCACCUGCUCUCUGCGCCCGGCCCUGUCGGCGCCGGAGUAGAGCUGGCGCCUCCCGGUCCCACCCUUCCUGUAUUAUUAAUCCAGUUUUGCGGGGCUUGCUCUUGGUGCUCGGGAGCUUUUCUCCCUGAGCGCGGCUGGUCUCAGGUGUCAGAGCGCUGUGCAGGAAAAAUCAAACCACUGUGAGAGCCGGUGUAAAGCUGUGAGUUGUUACCAGUGGUGCGACAGGUGCUUUCCCGGCCCUCCGUCUCCCACCCCCAGCCUGAGACGGCUCUGGGGAGUCCUGGUGGGAGAUGGGCAUGUGGUGAUAAUACCCGUGGCAGACGUGUUCCUCAGGGUCAUGGCCACAACGUCCAGGGUGUGUUUUACAGCCUUGCCUUCAGAUGUUGUCAUGCCAAGGUUCAAAGUUAAUAGGUGGUUGUACCCGAGCGCCUCACGUGCAGUUAACUAUGUUCGCGCUGGUCACUACUAAGAGCCGGGUGCUCAGCUCGCAUGGUGGCCACGCCUCCGGCCUCUGGCAGCUUUUCUCAGCCACCGUCCAGAUCACAACAAACUUGUGUUUCAUAUCAUUGUCUUUUGGCUGCUGCGGACCAGUGGCUUGCAGUAUUUAUUUGCAGCGAGAUAGCUUUUAUAAGUUACCCAGGCGGGCACAAAACCGCAUUGUUUUACGUGCUGUGCAAGAGCAGAGCAAACGGUUUGUACUCCAGAAAGGCAGGUAUAAAGCUGCACAUGUGCUGAGUUUGAUAGAGGAGUGAAGAGAGCAGGAUGAAUAAUUUCCCAGUGUUUUCACCUUUUGGUUCUGAGGCUGAGUAGGAGCACACCAAGUGGUAUAUGAAUUAAGGUGACUAGUGGUAACUAGGAUCAGGGAGCCUGCUCAGACUUCCGUGCUGCUCCAAAUGCAUCAGUCUGCUUUCAACCCCCCUGGUGCUGCAUAUAAGCCUUGCAUUCUUCGCAGACCUACAUAAUGUAGCAUGUGAAAGAAACAAAUAAGGAGAGGUACAAUUAUACUCAAUUUUUGUGUGCAAACAAGAAGAAACAGUUUUGUUGCAUGGAUGUAGCACCUUAAUAUUGUUUCAGUUAUGUCAUUAUAGGCGCAAUAUCAAUAGAGCUAUCUAUAUCUGCAUUAGGGAUUUGCUCCCAUUUAAUUACAUUAAAGUGAAAUUAGGUAAUUCAGUGCUAAUGUUGUACAGGCCUUAGCAGAAAUUGCCUACCAUCUUUUUGUGAGGCACUUGAUGCAAAAUGCUUAAGGCUUUGGUCUUUCUCCAGGGUUUUGCUUUUAUUGCUAGUAAAACGAUGAGUUUUAUCCCAAGUAGGCAUAUUAAAUGUCAACAGGGUUGUUGUCUCCUCUUUCUUUUAGCUGUCUUUUUGCAUGCCUUUCUCAUGUGGCUUUUGGGGGUGUUUCCAUUUUCUACCUUUUGGCUUCUCAUUUCUAUUUUCCUUUUGCCUUAAACUCCAGAUCUUUUUUCCCUCUUCUCAGAUCAAUCUGUCUAUGCAUUUUUAAUGAAUCAUUUACUGUGACAUAUGAGCACUACAGCUACUGUGUCAGGGACUUAAGCAUCUGCGGAGAGCUUCUGUGCCGGGAUAGCAGCAGCGAGAUGAAAUGGAUGUGAUCUUAGUUUCAUCCUUUUUUGUUCACGUGGGAUGGUACUUUGCCUAGAGGCAGCACAAAUAUAACUUUCCUUCUAGGGAAGAAUGAGAAGAAUCAAAACCCAGAGAUGUCUCAUUUUUCUCUUCAGAGCACUGCUAUGAAUAGAGGAUUUAAGCUGUGUCUCUGCUAUUCCACACUUAACCACUGAGUCAAUACUGUUCUUGUAGAAACACCAUUGUAGGUAAGAAGCUAUUGUGCAGCACUCAUUCAUAUUAUCUAUGCAAGCAUUUUUAAAAUGUAGAAUGGGAAACAUGGGGUUUGUAAUAUCAGGAGUAACAUCAACAGAUAGAAUCCUUGUCAUUAUCCCAUUUAUCUUCCCUUAUGGUCCGAGUAAUUCUUGCUUUGAAGUUGCGAAGGAAAGAGGACCACUUUCAGACACCAUCUUUACAUAACCAAAACAAAAGUGACUAAAGAGGCAAGAAAUGUAUCUCUUUCAGGGAGUUCUUCCUUACCAGUCAGCUGGCAGAAAGUGCAGAUACUGGAGGGCAACCUAAUUAAAAAAAAAAAAAAAAGUAAAUAACUGACUUAAAGUUAUUUUUGAUUUCACAAGAGUAUGCAUAAUUUAUGUGAAACUCAUAAUGUUUUAAAAGAGUUUUAGUAUAAGUUUUCAGUUUUAGUGCUGUAGACAGAUAAUAAAAUCAUUUGCCUCUGGUAUGCUUUUGGAUUGGGUCAAUAUAUACGUCAGUCAAAGUUUUCUCCUUUUAAGUUUGUAAUUAAACAUAAAUGUUACUUGCAGCUGUUGGGUCCAGCUGAUAUCCACAAAGACAAAGUAAAGUACAUGCUGAAAUCAUAGCCUGAUUUUGGAUUUGGGUAUUUUGGUUUGGCUAAAGUGCGCUCAUUUUAUCCAUAUAUAUUAUGUAUAUAUAUUAUGUGAGCAGUACUAAUAACUACAAAUGAAUAGGAUUUGGCCUGUAUCAUGUUAUGCAAAGCUAUUUCUAUAGCGAGUCUGUGUGUGUGACAAAUUCCUUUUUAAUAUAAUCACAUGGACCUUGUAGACCCACACUAAGUUGAAUGUUUCCCUGCUUCAAGUUUAAAAACAAACACAUAGAUAUAAAAUUUUACAGAAGCUAACACUUAAAUACAAUCUUCAUCAAGUAAUUUCCUUUAAAGGCUACAUUUAUACCAAUGAUUAUUUUUCUUUUUCUGACCUGCUAUCCAUUUUUUCUUAAAAUAUUUGUGCAGAGAAGCGAAAAUAUCUACCCUAUUUUCUUGGAGGACAAAGUGAUGUUUCUUUCUAGGAUUUGCACUGACUUGUCAGAAAUGAUCAUCCAGCUAGAGCUUCCAGUUGCUUUCAGACACUACAUUGUCUCUUAGAGGCAGUUUGUUGUGUCACAGUUUUUUAUUACUAUGGCAUUUAUCAUGUAUGGUUUCAUACAUAUUUCACAGUAAAAUUAAUUUUUCUAGA